AUACGAAGGGGGCUAGCGUUGUUCGGAAUUACUGGGCGUAAAGCGCGCGUAGGCGGAUACUUAAGUCAGGGGUGAAAGCCCGGAGCUUAACUCCGGAACUGCCUUUGAUACUGUCAGUCUCGAGUCCGUAAGAGGUGAGUGGAAUUCCUAGUGUAGAGGUGAAAUUCGUAGAUAUUAGGAAGAACACCAGUGGCGAAGGCGGCUCACUGGUCCAAUACUGACGCUGAGGUGCGAAAGCGUGGGGAGCAAACAGGAUUAGAUACCCGAGUAGUCC
rnacentral:rRNA from 1 species